AAGAUUCUAUCCCCAGAAUCUCGCCUUACUUUAAUCAAAUAGAUGAGAAAAUUUUUUCUUCAUCUUUUCUCCUAGUUCCCACGUUACUUCUUCAGCAUCGUGGCUCUUCCAUAAUACCUUUACUAAUGGUAUUACCUUGUUCCUUUUAAUCAAUGAUCUGCAUCGGCGAUUCUUCAUAUAUUAAGUCUUUCUCGAUAUGAAUCGGCUUAUACUCGAUUACAUGCUUAUAGUCUGGCUUAUAUGGACG
rnacentral:lncRNA from 1 species